rnacentral:lncRNA from 1 species
GCGGCUCCAAGGUAGGGGAAGGUCUGGGUGUCCACCAGGCGGCCUCGCCAAGGAGGAACUUGGCACAAAUUCUCCAGCUCGCAGGGAGAGCGGGCAAAAGCCAGCAAGCCGGAGUACGAAGAGCGCCCCCGUGGGAGGCGGGAGCUGAGGCUGCCACCGAGCCACCCGCCUUUGCCCCCAAACCCAGGGCAGAGGGGCUGCGGGGACCGGUACGGCCCCCGAACCGAGCUGGAGCUGCCGGGAGGAAAGUCAGGUCCCCUCUGCGCUCCGGGUUCGCCCCCCGCCCCCCGCCCGCGGGGAAGAUGCCCCGGGCCCCGGCACGCAGCGGCGGGGGCUCCUCCCCGCGGGGAAGAUGCCCCGGGCCCGGGUCGCGGAAGGGCGGGCGUGGCCCAGGGAAUCCCGCGAAGCCGCCCCAGCGCCUGCCGGCGGGGCGCCCCGGGCUUUCCCCGCCGCCGGGUGCGCGGCGCCCGCCCGGCGCGGACCCUCCUGCCCCGCGGAGCGCGAGCCCCGGAGCCAAGCAGUCGCGCCGGUGGACAUGCCUGCCUCGGAGGGCCACCGCCGCGGCUGACCCUCCCGCAGCUCAUCCUUCGGAGGAUCGUGGCUCC